AAAGUGGGUUUUGGUGGGGGAAACCUUGGAAACUUGGGCUAAUACCGCAUGAGCCCUGAGGGGGAAAGCGGGGGAUCUUCGGACCUCGCGCUAAGAGAGGAGCCUACGUCCGAUUAGCUAGUUGGCGGGGUAAAGGCCCACCAAGGCGACGAUCGGUAGCUGGUCUGAGAGGACGACCAGCCACACUGGGACUGAGACACGGCCCAGACUCCUACGGGAGGCAGCAGUGGGGAAUUUUUCGCAAUGGGGGCAACCCUGACGAAGCAAUGCCGCGUGGAUGAAGAAGGCCUUCGGGUUGUAAAGUCCUUUCGUGGAGGACGAAAAGGUGGGUUCUAAUACAAUCUGCUAUUGACGUGAAUCCAAGAAGAAGCACCGGCUAACUCCGUGCCAGCAGCCGCGGUAAUACGGGGGGUGCAAGCGUUAAUCGGAAUCACUGGGCGUAAAGGGUGCGUAGGCGGUACGUUAGGUCUGUCGUGAAAUCCCCGGGCUCAACCUGGGAAUGGCGGUGGAAACCGGUGUACUAGAGUAUUGGGGAGAGGGUGGUGGAAUUCCAGGUGUUAGCGGGUGAAAAUGCGUAGAGAUCUGGGAGGAAACAUCAGUUGGCGAAGGGCGGCCACCCUGGGCCCCAAUACUGACGCUGAGGCACGAAAGGCGUGGGGGAGCCAAAACCAGGAAUUAGAUACCCUUGGUUAGUCCAACGCCCUAAAACGA
rnacentral:rRNA from 1 species